AGGACCAUUGAGUCCAUUUUUUUUAUCUCUAUGUUUAUUUUUAUUUUCUUAGACUUAUUUUGUUUUUAUCUUUUGAACUAUAUUUAUUUUUAUGGUUGUUUCUAAUCGAGUAUAAUCCCUUAAUCUUCUUCAUUAUUUGUGUUUAUUUUUUUAGUAGUUUGCUAAGAAUCAUGCACUACAUCUAGAUUUGUCUACAAUUUCGCUUUUCACUAUUCUGGGGAUUUCAUCCAAUAUUCAAGGCAGUUUCAGUUUUCUCC
rnacentral:lncRNA from 1 species